AGAGUUUGAUCAUGGCUCAGGAUGAACGCUGGCGGCGCGCCUAAUACAUGCAAGUCGAGGGACGAAACAGUUCUCCGUAAGGAGAACUGCUGAAACCGGCGAACGGGUGAGUAACACGUGGGCAACGUGCCCCUGACACAGGGAUAACAACGGGAAACCGUUGCUAAUACCUGAUGACCCAGCAGAACCGCAUGGUUCCGUUGGCAAAGCUUUCGUGGUCAGGGAUCGGCCCGCGGCCUAUCAGCUUGUUGGUGGGGUAACGGCCUACCAAGGCAUUGACGGGUAGCUGGCGUGAGAGCGUGGCCAGCCACACUGGGACUGAGACACGGCCCAGACUCCUACGGGAGGCAGCAGUAGGGAAUCUUGCGCAAUGGGCGAAAGCCUGACGCAGCGACGCCGCGUGAGGGAUGAAUGCCUUCGGGUUGUAAACCUCUUUCAGCGGGGACGAAGCGAAAGUGACGGUACCCGCAGAAGAAGCCCCGGCUAACUACGUGCCAGCAGCCGCGGUAAUACGUAGGGGGCAAGCGUUAUCCGGAUUUAUUGGGCGUAAAGAGCUCGUAGGCGGCCGGUCGCGUCGGAUGUGAAAGCUCAGGGCUUAACCCUGAGACGCCAUUCGAUACGGAUCGGCUAGAGGUAGGUAGGGGAAAGUGGAAUUCCUGGUGUAGCGGUGAAAUGCGCAGAUAUCAGGAGGAACACCGGUGGCGAAGGCGGCUUUCUGGGCCUUACCUGACGCUGAGGAGCGAAAGCUGGGGGAGCGAACAGGAUUAGAUACCCUGGUAGUCCCAGCCGUAAACGUUGAGUGCUAGGUGUGGGGAGGUCUUCAACCCUCUCCGUGCCGAAGCUAACGCAUUAAGCAC
rnacentral:rRNA from 1 species